rnacentral:rRNA from 1 species
GGGUCAGUAGGUUGGUCGUGCCACCGGUACGUACUGGUCUCACUGAUUCCUCCUUCCUGAAGAACCGUAAUGCCAUUAAUUUGGUGUUGCGGGGAAACAGGACUGUUACUUUGAAAAAAUUAGAGUGUUUAAAGCAAGCUAACGCUUGAAUACAUUAGCAUGGAAUAAUGAAAUAGGACGAUCGACCCUAUUUUGUUGGUUUCCAGGAUUGACGUA